rnacentral:rRNA from 1 species
CCAGCAGCCGCGGUAAUUCCAGCUCCAGAAGCGUAUAUUAAUAUUGCUGCAGUUAAAAAGCUCGUAGUCGGAUUUCGGGACUGGGCCGAACGGUCUGCCUUUUGGUAUGUACUGUUUGGCCUGUCCUUCCUUCCGAGGGCUCAGUCUGCCCUUCACUGGGUGGGUUGAGUGCUCGGGACUUUUACUUUGAAAAAAUUAGAGUGUUUAAAGCAGGCCUUUGCUCUGAAUACAUUAGCAUGGAAUAAUCGAAUAGGACUCUGGUUCUAUUUUGUUGGUUUCUAGGACCGGAGUAAUGAUCAAAAGGAACAGUUUGGGGCGUUCGUAUUUCAUUGUCAGAGGUGAAAUUCUUGGAUUUAUGAAAGACGAACUUCUGCGAAAGCAUUCGCCAGGGAUGUUUUCAUUGAUCAAGAACGAAAGU